rnacentral:rRNA from 1 species
UACGUAGGGUGCGAGCGUUGUCCGGAAUUACUGGGCGUAAAGAGCUCGUAGGCGGUUCGUCGCGUUGUUCGUGAAAACUCACAGCUUAACUGUGGGCGUGCGGGCGAUACGGGCAGACUGGAGUACUGCAGGGGAGACUGGAAUUCCUGGUGUAGCGGUGGAAUGCGCAGAUAUCAGGAGGAACACCGGUGGCGAAGGCGGGUCUCUGGGCAGUAACUGACGCUGAGGAGCGAAAGCGUGGGGAGCGAACAGG